AGACACUCUUGGUUAGACCUUGAGACAGUAUUCCAUCCUUAUUCGCUAAGAACAGGUUACGAAGUGUACAGCUAUUCUCAAAUGAGAAGUUAUUUUGCUAGCAGAUAUUCUGAAUAUGUGGUGACAUAGCGUGUCUGAAGUGACAUGCCAUCAUUCCUUCCCUCCCUCCACCCCUCCUUCUCCCUCACUCCUCCCUCACUCCUCCCUCCCAUUCCGACAAGCGACGACCGUUCACACACAUGACUUAUCACAUCUGAGACGUAUAGAUGUCAUAUAUUUAGACAGCAUUUUCUCCCUUACCUGAUUAUUCCAUGUUCCUGAACAACGGAAUGUGACAUUCCACGUUCCUGAACAACGGAAUGUGACAUUCCACGUUCCUGAACAACGGACUGUGACAUUCCACGUUCCUGAACAACGGAAUGUGACAUUCCACGUUCCUGAACAACGGAAUGUGACAUUCCACGUUCCUGAACAACGGACUGUGACAUUCCACGUUGCUGAACAACGGAAUGUGACAUUCCACGUUCCUGAACAACGGACUGUGACAUUCCACGUUCCUGAACAUUCCGUAGAGUCAUCAGCUUGUGGUCUCUCACGGAGAAGUGUUCUACAGCUCCGACUUCAUAAAGGGUUCGAAUCCCCCCCCCCUUAUAAGUUUCUAAUGACUAUCAGUACAAUUGGGCGAGAUGUAAAUAGUAUUUUGUACAAAUGUUAUCAGGCUGGAAAGAACAAAUUUGUUCUUUCUAGAAGGCUUUUGUAAGUUGACCGCCCGAGGCGGCGCUGGUCUGGUAGUGGUGAUGAUGGUGGCAGAGAUGGUGAUGAUGUUGAGAUGAUGAGUUAGUGUGUUCAGAGCUCCUGACACCUGUUGGCAGGUGUUCACUGGGUGUAUUGACUGUCAUGACAGGUGUUCAAUGGUGUGUCAUGACAGGUGUUCACUGGGUGUAGUGACUGUCAUGACAGGUGUUCAAUGGUGUGUCAUGACAGGUGUUCACUGGGUGUAGUGACUGUCAUGACAGGUGUUCACUGGGUGUUGUGACUGUCAUGACAGUCACCUCCCAACAUAACUGUUAAUAAAGGUAUACAGAUGGUAAA